AUGCGCCUCAGGGUUAUUGCGCCCCUGCCUAUAACAUGCAACACGUCCCCUCGUACCGAGGCUAAGACGUUUCCGCACAUCGCACAUGGUAAUCAGAGCAAUCCUCUCCAAAGCCAUCUAGCGAUCCAAUCUCCAGCCAUGUCUUCCUCCGGCGCUUCUCAGGCCAACCUCAGCGGCCAAGUCAUGGAGAAGCUGACCCGCACCAACUAUGUCCUCUGGCGCACGCAGGUGACACCACAACUUAGGGGCGCGGGAGUCUUCGGCUACGCCGACGGCACAACACCGGAGCCGGCCAAGUUCCUCACCACCAAAGAUAAGGAUGGGAAGGAAACCUCUGGCCCAACCCUCUCCACCCUUUUUGGGUCCGGGAGGACCAGUAAGUGCUGGGCUAUCUCCUCAACAACCUCACCAAGGAGGUCCUGCUGCAGGUGA
rnacentral:rRNA from 1 species